rnacentral:rRNA from 1 species
CCUACGGGAGGCAGCAGUGGGGAAUUUUGGACAAUGGGCGCAAGCCUGAUCCAGCAAUGCCGCGUGCAGGAUGAAGGCCUUCGGGUUGUAAACUGCUUUUGUACGGAACGAAACGGUGAGCUCUAAUACAGUUUGCUAAUGACGGUACCGUAAGAAUAAGCACCGGCUAACUACGUGCCAGCAGCCGCGGUAAUACGUAGGGUGCGAGCGUUAAUCGGAAUUACUGGGCGUAAAGCGUGCGCAGGCGGUGAUGUAAGACAGAUGUGAAAUCCCCGGGCUCAACCUGGGACCUGCAUUUGUGACUGCAUCGCUAGAGUACGGUAGAGGGGGAUGGAAUUCCGCGUGUAGCAGUGAAAUGCGUAGAUAUGCGGAGGAACACCGAUGGCGAAGGCAAUCCCCUGGACCUGUACUGACGCUCAUGCACGAAAGCGUGGGGAGCAAACAGGAUUAGAUACCCUGGUAGUCCACGCCCUAAACGAUGUCAACUGGUUNUUGGGUCUUCACUGACUCAGUAACGAAGCUAACGCGUGAAGUUGACCGCCUGGGGAGUACGGCCGCAAGGUUGAAACUCAAAGGAUUGACGGCUUGAGACGNGCGAGGACGACGACGAGGGAGGAGG